UACGAAGGGGGCUAGCGUUGCUCGGAAUCACUGGGCGUAAAGGGUGCGUAGGCGGGUCUUUAAGUCAGGGGUGAAAUCCUGGAGCUCAACUCCAGAACUGCCUUUGAUACUGAAGAUCUUGAGUUCGGGAGAGGUGAGUGGAACUGCGAGUGUAGAGGUGAAAUUCGUAGAUAUUCGGAAGAACACCAGUGGCGAAGGCGGCUCACUGGACUGGUAUUGACGCUGAGGUGCGAAAGCGUGGGGAGCAAACAGG
rnacentral:rRNA from 1 species